GAGCACGUAGGUGGGUUUGUAAGUCAGACGUGAAAGCCUUCUGUUCAACGGAAGAAUUGCAUCUGAAACUACAAACCUUGAGUGUAGGAGGGGAGAAUGGAACUUCUGCUGGAGCGGUGAAAUGCGUAGAUAUCAGAAGGAACGCCGGCGGCGAAAGCGAUUCUCUGGCCUAUUACUGACACUCAGUGUGCGAAAGCUAGGGGAGCAAACGGGAUUAGAUACCCCGGUAGUCCUAGCCGUAAACGAUGGGCACUAAGUAGAGGGAAUUACCGAUGUUCUCUCUGCCGUAGCUAACGCAUUAAGUGCCCCGCCUGGGGAGUACGGCCGCAAGGCUAAAACUCAAAAGAAUUGACGGGGGCUCGCACAAGCGGUGGAGCAUGUGGCUUAAUUCGAUGCAACGCGAAAAACCUUACCGGGGCUUGACAUGGUAGAAGUAGGAACCCGAAAGGGUAACGAACGGUAUCCAGUCCGUGACUAUCACAGGUGUCGCAUGGCUGUCGUCAGCUCGUGUCGUGAGACGUUGGGUUAAGUCCCCUAACGAGCGAAACCCUUGUUUUUAGUUGCCAGCGGGUUGUGCCGGGCACUCU
rnacentral:rRNA from 1 species